rnacentral:rRNA from 1 species
GCGGAUCCGCGGCCGCUGCAGAGUUUGAUCCUGGCUCAGGACGAACGCUGGCGGCGUGCCUAACACAUGCAAGUCGAGCGGGCAAGAAUUCAACACUGAGUAUUCAGUUAAAAGUAUGAAAAAGGUGUUGAGCCAGCGUCAAGCGCGAAGUUCACGCAAAUCAAAAAAGCCAACACAUGCUAAAGCUGAGUAUUGAGUGUUGAAUUCUUGCUAGCGGCGGACGGGUGAGUAACACGUGGGUAACCUGCCCUAAGGAGGGGGAUAACAGUCCGAAAGGAUUGCUAAUACCGCAUGAAGCUAUUGUUCUGCAUGGGAUAAUAGCCAAAGGAGAAAUCCGCCUUAGGAUGGGCCCGCGGCCAUAUAGCUAGUUGGUGAGGUAACGGCUCACCAAGGCAACGAUGGGUAGCCGGCCUGAGAGGGUGGCCGGCCACACUGGGACUGAGACACGGCCCAGACUCCUACGGGAGGCAGCAGUGGGGAAUAUUGCGCAAUGGGGGAAACCUGACGCAGCGACGCCGCGUGAGUGAAGAAGGCCUUCGGGUUGUAAAGCUCUGUCUUCCCUGAAGAAAAGAUGACGGUAAGGGAGGAGGAAGCCACGGCUAACUACGUGCCAGCAGCCGCGGUAAUACGUAGGUGGCGAGCGUUGUCCGGAAUUAUUGGGCGUAAAGGGUGCGUAGCGGCUCUUUAAGUGAGGUGUGAAACCCUGGGCUUAACCGAGGGAUGGCACUUCAAACUGGGGAGCUAGAGUGCAGGAGAGGAAACCGGAUUCCCA